rnacentral:misc_RNA from 1 species
GAUGAAGAACGUAGCGAAAUGCGAUAAGUAGUGUGAAUUGCAGAAUUCCGUGAAUCAUCGAAUCUUUGAACGCACAUUGCGCCCCUUGGUAUUCCAUGGGGCAUGCCUGUUCGAGCGUCAUUUGUACCUUCAAGCUCUGCUUGGUGUUGGGUGUUUGUCUCGCCUCUGCGCGUAGACUCGCCUCAAAACAAUUGGCAGCCGGCGUAUUGAUUUCGGAGCGCAGUACAUCUCGCGCUUUGCACUCAUAACGACGACGUCCAAAAGUACAUUUUUACACUCUUGACCUCGGAUCAGGUAGGGAUACCCGCUGAACUUAAGCAUAUCAAUAAGCGGAGGA